CAGGGCUGUGUUUGACUUGUGCUGGCUCUGCUCCCGAUCUGCCUACUUGAAAGUCUCAGCCAAUCCUAUGGGAAAGCAUUGUGAUUGGCUCAGAACAACACUCUUGAUGAUGUCAGCAGACAGCUUGCAGGUCUGACACAGACAGGGGAAGAGCCAGCAGCUUCAGGCUUGAAUACAAGUACGAUUUUACUAUAUUUAGGGAGGCAAGAAAGGGCCAGAUGGCGGUUUUAACACUAUAGGGUCAG